GCCACGGGGAGCUGCUGGUGCGUGCUGAGCACCCACCAAUUUUUUUUUCAUCGGAUGCUCCAGCCCCGGAGCACUCACGAAGUCAGCGCCUAUGCCUGGGGGUAGCAGCACACAGAGGCCCCCCAGCCCACCCUGCCUAGGAGCCCCAGCAGGUCUGUACAACCUUUCAGGGCUGAGGGAGAUGCACCGUCCCUGAGCUUGCACUGAGGAUGCUGCUGUUCCUGCUCCCUGUGGCCUUUCUCCUGCAAGUCCUGCCCCCCCGGGGCUCAGGCUGCCAUUGGGUCAGGCCAGACGGUUCCUCGGCUGGAUUCUCUACCCAUUAUUAACUAUUUGUUCCCCAGGGGGGAUCAUUGGGGAACAGGAAGCUGUGCCCCACUCCAGACCCUACAUGGCCUUUCUGAAGAUAAAAAAAAGGUUUGAACCUGUGAAUACCUGCGGCGGGUUCCUGAUCUGGGAGGACGUGGUGGUGAUGGCAGCUCACUGAAGUGGAGCAGACACCAUAGUGCUGGGGGCCCACAACAUUUGGAAGAGAGAAUCAAGCAGGCAAAAAAUUGGAGUGAGGCUCUGGAUCUGCCACCCCAAAUAUAAUAAAAUGACACAAUAAAAUGACACAAAAGAAUGACAUCAUGCUGCUGCAGGUCGCUGGUGUGAACCCCUGAGGACAGCAUUUGGGAUGCAGGGAGAUAAAGUGAUGGGGAAAGAUCAUGCUUUGGAAAGCCACAUGGCAACAGCUGUGUAACAUCUGAAGCCCAGCACAACUGGCUUGCGUGGAGAGCACAGGUGACCACGCAGAACUCAUCAGCACAGGUAACCAUGAUGGUAACCAGGAUUGCAAAAGAGCUCCAGCAUGGACCGAACGGGAGCUGCAAAUGUUUCUCCUUUGCAGAGGCUAGUGAAGAUUAGAAGGAGAAAAUGGUGGACUCAGGAUGAUAUGUUCUCGGAGCUCCAGAUGUCCUCCCGUGCUGACAGAGCACAGCAGAAUGCGUGGAGGCAGUCAAUGUCAGACUACAGAAAAGCACAAUAUGAACGAGAGGAGAGGUGGCAGGCAGAAUCGUGGGCUGAACAGAGCAAGUGGCGGGCUGAAGAUGAUAGGUGGCAUCAGCUUGCAGACAGAAGGCAAGAGUCGAUGCUCCGGCUGCUGGAGCAUCAAACUGAUAUGCUCCAGCGUAUGGUUGAGCUGCAGGAAAGGCAGCAGGAGCAGAGACUGCUGCUACAGCCCCUGUGUAACCAACAGCUCUCCUCCCCAAGUUCCAUAGCCUCCUCACCCAGACGCCCAAGAACACGGUGGGGGGCCCUCCGGCCACCCAGUCACUCCACCCCAGAUGAUUGCCCGAGCAUCAGAAGGCUGGCCUUCAAUAAGAGUUAAAGUUUUAAACUGCAGCGUGUCCUUUUCCUUCCCUCCUCCCCCACCCAUCCCGGGCUACCUUGGCAAUUAUCCCCCUAGUUGUAUGAUGAAUUAAUAAAGAAUGCAUGAAUGAGAAGUAACAA